rnacentral:rRNA from 1 species
CACUCCUGCGGGAGGCAGCAGUGGGGAAUAUUGGACAAUGGGCGCAAGCCUGAUCCAGCCAUGCCGCGUGAGUGAUGAAGGCCCUAGGGUUGUAAAGCUCUUUCACCGGUGAAGAUAAUGACGGUAACCGGAGAAGAAGCCCCGGCUAACUUCGUGCCAGCAGCCGCGGUAAUACGAAGGGGGCUAGCGUUGUUCGGAUUUACUGGGCGUAAAGCGCACGUAGGCGGACUAUUAAGUCAGGGGUGAAAUCCCGGGGCUCAACCCCGGAACUGCCUUUGAUACUGGUAGUCUUGAGUUCGAGAGAGGUGAGUGGAAUUCCGAGUGUAGAGGUGAAAUUCGUAGAUAUUCGGAGGAACACCAGUGGCGAAGGCGGCUCACUGGCUCGAUACUGACGCUGAGGUGCGAAAGCGUGGGGAGCAAACAGGAUUAGAUACCCUAGUAGUCCCAUGAU